CACCGCGGUUAUACGAGUGACACAAAUUAAUAUUUCACGGCGUUAAGGGUGAUUAGAAACAAUCUCAUUUAUAUUAAAGUUAAGACCUCAUUAAGCUGUCAUACGCACUUAUGAUUGAAAACAUCAUUCACGAAAGUAACUUUAUACACAAAUAGAAUUUUUGACCUCACUACAGUUAAGACC
rnacentral:rRNA from 1 species